rnacentral:rRNA from 1 species
UACGGGGGGAGCAAGCGUUGUUCGGAUUUACUGGGCGUAAAGGGCUUGUAGGCGGCCAACUAAGUCCGACGUGAAAUCCCCAGCUUAACCUGGGAACUGCGUCGGAUACUGGAUGGCUUGAAUUCGGGAGAGGGAUGCAGAAUUCCAGGUGUAGCGGUGAAAUGCGUAGAUAUCUGGAGGGAUACCGGUGGCGAAGGCGGCAUCCUGGACCGACAUUGACGCUGAGGAGCGAAAGCCAGGGGAGCAAACGGG